GACGAACGCUGGCGGCGUGCUUAACACAUGCAAGUCGAACGGUAAGGCCCUUCGGGGUACACGAGUGGCGAACGGGUGAGUAACACGUGGGUGAUCUACCCUGCACUUCGGGAUAAGCCUGGGAAACUGGGUCUAAUACCAGAUAGGACCACUGCCUGCAUGGGUGGUGGUGGAAAGCUUUUGCGGUGUGGGAUGGGCCCGCGGCCUAUCAGCUUGUUGGUGGGGUGAUGGCCUACCAAGGCGACGACGGGUAGCCGGCCUGAGAGGGUGACCGGCCACACUGGGUCUGAGAUACGGACCAGACUUCGACGGGAGGCAGCAGUGGGGAAUAUUGCACAAUGGGCGCAAGCCUGAUGCAGCGAAGCCGCGUGAGGGAUGACGGCCUUCGGGUUGUAAACCUCUUUCAGCACCGACGAAGCGCAAGUGACGGUAGGUGCAGAAGAAGGACCGGCCAACUACGUGCCAGCCGCCGCGGUAA
rnacentral:rRNA from 1 species